CGCCUUCCUCGAUCGGACCUGCCCUGCCGCGCAGACGCACACGCGCGGUGCCGCCUGCUUUUGCAGAUUCGCGGAAUCCCAGCGGGGAGCGGCGGGGGCUUUGAAGGCCGCAGUCACGCCUCACGCGGGGACCGGAGCUCGCGGCCGCCCGCCGGUUGAGGCCGGGCCAGGCCGGAUAGCCGGUGCGCUCAGGGAGGGAUCCCGCUGUCCCGGGCGCCCGGCUGCCGGCAGCAUGGAGCCCGCGCGCUCUGCAGUCGGACUCAGCAUCCGGGAAGCGGUGCACGUCCUCCAGUCUUCUGAGGACGGUGGCCGCGUCCUCUCCGCCCUGGAGUCCCUGCAGCGCUAUCUGCGAGGAACCGCGGAGCCCGCGCUGCCCGGAGAGCAGGAGGAGUUCGCCGCCAAGCACUUCGCUGUCGUGCUGCGCUGUCUGGUCGGCAGGCUGAGCCCCCGCUGGCUGCAGCUGUCGCCCGGCGACCGGCUGGAGCAGCUCUGGGACAGCUUCUUCCUGGAGGGCCCUGCUGACCAGGCCUUCCUAGUGCUGAUGGAGGCCAUCGAGGGCACUGCCGGCCCCAGCUUCCGUCUGAUGAAGAUGGCACAGCUGCUGGCCAGGUUUCUGAGUGAGGGCAGGGUAGCGGCCCUGAUGGAGGAGCAGUGCCGGCCGCAGAUGAAGCCUGGCUUUCCCCUGCUCCAGGAGACACUACUCAGCAAGGUGGUGAGCCUGCCUGACCACCUGGGCAACCAUCUGCAGCAGGAUAACCUGGCCCAGUUCUUCCCCCAGAACUACUUCCCACUGCUGGGUGAGGAGGCCGUGCAGGUGCUGCAGUCAGUGGUGGAUUCUCUCCGAGGUGGCCUACACUGUUCUGUCUCCUUUGUGUCUCGAGUCCUUGGGAAGGUGUGCAUCCAGGGGAGACACAAGGAGAUCUUGGGCAGGUUGGUGCCCCAACUGACAGCACGCACCCAGGGCAGCUGCUUGUGGCAGCGGGUCUGCUGGCGCCUAGUGGAGCAAGUGCCGGACAGGGCCAUGGAGGCUGUGCUCACAGGGUUGGUGGAGGCCACUCCGGGGCCUGAGGUCCUGUCACGACUACUGGGGAAUCUGGUGCUGAAGAAUAAGAAAGCCCAGUUUGUGAUGACCCGGAAGCUUCUGUUCAUGCAGUACCGGUGCACGACACCCAUGCUGCAGAGCCUGCUGGGGUACCUGGCCAUGGACAGCCAGCGGCGUCCAUUCCUCAUACAGGCGCUAAAGGAGCUGCUGGAGACCUGGGGCAGCAGCAGUGCUGUCCGACACACGCCCCUGGCUCAGCAGCGCUAUGUCAGCAUGGCGGUGCUCAUCUGCCUGGCACACCUUGGGGAGCCAGAGCUGCGGGACAGCCGGGAAGAGUUGCUGGCCAGCAUGAUGGCAGGUGUGAAGUGCCGCCUGGACAGCAGCCUGCCUGCCGUGCGCCGCCUAGGCAUGAUCGUGGCCGAGGUCAUCAGCACCCGGAUCCACCCUGAGGGGCCUCCAUUGAGAUUCCAGUAUGAAGACGAUGAGCUGAGCCGUGAGAUGCUGGCCUUGGCCACUCCCCGGCCUGUGGGAGACAGCCCCUUGGAGGCAAGAAGCUCAUCACUGGAUCCAGUUGUGGCAGAGACCCCUGCAGAGACCAUGGAGGGUAGUGUGCCCCCAGCUCAGCUGCAGGGCUCUGACUCGGAGCUGGACAGUGACGAUGAUUUCAUCCCCUAUGACAUGUCAGGGGACAAAGAGCUGAAGAGCAGCAAGGCACCUCAGUAUGUGCGGGACUGCAUGGAAGCACUGACCACAUUUGAGGAUAAGGAUAUGGAGCGCUGGGAGGCCGCCCUGAAGGCCCUGGAAGGCCUAGUCCGCAGGAACCCUGAGGCCACACGGGAGGUGAGUGUGGAGCUGGCCAGGGUACUGUUGCACCUGGAGGAGAGGACCUGUGUGGCGGGAUUUGAGGAACUGCGCCAGAGAGCCCUGGUGGCUGUUACAGUCACAGACCCAGCCCAGGUAGCUGAGCACCUGACCUCACAGUUCUAUGCCCUGAACUACAGCCUCCGGCAGCGCAUGGACAUCCUGGAUGUCCUGACUCUGGCUGCCCAGGAGCUGUCUCGGCCAGGGCGCCUUGGGCGGUCUCCCCAACACAGUUCCGUGGGUCCCAGCACCCAGUGCUCACCAACACUGACUGCCUCUCAGUCUGGCAGUGUCAUGGUUCCUGACUGGAGGGUGGUGGUAGAAAAUCGGAUCAGAAGCAAGACCCGGCACUUCUCCAAGGGCUCUCCCUGGCAGGAGCCAGCAGGUGGCCCCAAUGAAUUUGCCUCCGUGGCUGGCUGUUUCUUUUUCCCCCUCAUUCAUCAUUUUGACAGGCCUCUAGUGACCUUUGACCUUUUGGGAGAUGACCAGUUGGUUCUUGGAAGAUUGACCCAUACUUUGGGGGCCUUGAUGUAUCUGGCAGUCAACACCACAGUGGCUGUACGCAUGGGUAAGGCCCUGCUGGAAUUUGUGUGGGCCCUUCGCUUCCAUGUGGACACCUACGUGCGCCGGGGCUUGCUUUCUGCGGUCUCCUCUGUCCUCCUCAGCGUACCUGCAGAGCGAUUACUAGAGGACCUGCCAGAUGAGCUGCUGGAAACCAGGUCCUGGCUGGCAGUCCUGGUAGGGUGGAAGCACCGGCUCUGUCUCCUCACAUGCAGUCUGGAAGAACUGCAGGAGCUCAGGGCUCAUCUCCUCAGGCUGGUUUUAACCCAGGUUGGUGCUCAGGAUAGCUGAGCUAUGUGACUGGACUGUGGCCAGGAUCCCUCGCUCCCAGUGGAGGUGUCUCCAUCACCUGUCCCAUGGUAGAGAGCCCUUUGCCAGAUGUGGCUGAGAAAGAUGUUGAUGAGAACUGCAGGGAGCUGGCCGUGAGAGCGCUGCUGCUUCUGGAGCGACUCAGAGACAGACUCCUCUCCCUUCCCUCCUAGUCCCUGAUGGACCCUAGGCAUUCCUGCUGGGUGGGAGGAAGGCUUCAAAGAGUGGACCCCUGUAACAUUUGAGUUUGCAGUUUGACCAGGUCUGGAGGGCCAUCUGGUUCCAGUGCAUGCAUGUAGGAAGGGUGUGUUCAGCUAAAAAUAUGGAGGGCCUCGCCCUGGCCCCCACAGGCAGAGCAACCCAAGUGCUGGCCUGCAGCUCCCAGUGGGCCCUGUGGUCAGGGAAUGCCAGAAGCAGGAAGGAAGCAGCUGCUCAGAGCCCAUAGCAGAGCAGGCUUGGCCCUUGGCCCUGUGGCUCAGUGCUGUCCCAGGAGAAUAAAUAGGGCAGGAGGUAUCACAAGUCAUCUUUGUGGUUAUCAGUGAGCAGGGACUUCAGUUCCUAGAGGACUAUGAGAUGCAACCAUGAAACUGGAGUGCAGUGUGAGGCAAAGAGGGGUGGAAGGGGCCUAGGCCUCUGAGAAAGUAGGCUUUAUUGGAGUUGUAGGAAUGUCAACAUCUGGUGGUAGGUGUGACCGACAGGACUUGGGCCUGGCCACAGUGGUCCCUGCUGAAUCAUCCUGGAGCCAUCUGGGUGUGGGUGUGAUUAGCAGUGAUGGGCAUCUCCAAGACCCAGGUGCAGCCUCAGUGCACCAAGUUCUACAAGUUCCUUCCACUCCACAACUGGUAGUCGGGAGAACCUGGGAAAGCUGAAUCCAGCUCCUUUAAAAGGAAUUAAACUAAAACACCACCGAAGCUGCCAAGUGCCCUGAGGCAGGAACACCAAGGGAAGACUUAGGGAUACAGGCAGUCCUCUGCACACUGUGGGCUGGGCCCUGCUUACUUGUUAUGAUAUGAACAAGUUUUUUUUCCCCCUACAAAAAAGAGAUGACUAGAGACUGGAAAUUCCAGAAGCAGAUCUCAGCAGCAGGACAAUGGCCAAGGCCCAUCAGGGGCCGUUCUCUACCUCCUCUACCACCUCAUCGUGGUCCUCGAUGCUGUUGUGGCGGAUCCGCUCAGGCACCACACGUGUCAGAGGGAGUCCCAGGCCCUGAUGCACGGCAUCCACUGUCUGCUGGUCCACGUAGUAGGACAUGUUGGCAGAAGGAAGUCUCUUGCGCAUCUCCUCGAGGUACCUGUAGGCCUAGGGCAGAGGGAACAGCUGUUUCUUAAAGGCCCAGUGGACACCUCAGCAUAUGAGAGCCAAGGGAGCCAUCUUGUCUGUUCACUGUAAUAAGGUCACCUCAAUAUGAAGUACCCACUCUGUCCCAGGGGUUGUAAGCAGGGAAGCAUGCCUUCUGAGGUUUCUGGUAUUUAUAAGGGGACAUGUGUCUCAGGGCAAGGUAUGUUUCAGGCUGUGGCCAGUAUGAACAACUGAAAACCUGAACCCCAGAGAGUCCUCUGGCAACCCAGAGCAAGAAUGUGGUUCAAGUUCCAGAAUUGUAUUCCCUCUAAAACUGCUCCCUGGAUGGUAGUGGACCUGCUGCGGGAGGGUGGAUUCCAUUUCCGUCUACUGUAGCACAUGUACUUGCUGGAAUGAAGGGCAGGCAUUGUUUAUUUCAGCUUAGUAUAAAAUUUAUCCCAAUUCUAUUGUAUCUCCUGUGUGAAUGGUCCUUGAUCCUAGGCCUGUAAACUGGAAAUGUCAA